GACGAACGCUGGCGGCGUGCCUAAUACAUGCAAGUAGAACGCUGAAGGAGGAGCUUGCUCUUCUGGAUGAGUUGCGAACGGGUGAGUAACGCGUAGGUAACCUGCCUGGUAGCGGGGGAUAACUAUUGGAAACGAUAGCUAAUACCGCAUAAGAGUAGAUGUUGCAUGACAUUUACUUAAAAGGUGCAAUUGCAUCACUACCAGAUGGACCUGCGUUGUAUUAGCUAGUUGGUGGGGUAACGGCUCAUCAAGGCGACGAUACAUAGCCGACCUGAGAGGGUGAUCGGCCACACUGGGACUGAGACACGGCCCAGACUCCUACGGGAGGCAGCAGUAGGGAAUCUUCGGCAAUGGACGGAAGUCUGACCGAGCAACGCCGCGUGAGUGAAGAAGGUUUUCGGAUCGUAAAGCUCUGUUGUAAGAGAAGAACGAGUGUGAGAGUGGAAAGUUC
rnacentral:rRNA from 1 species